UUAAACACCUGCAUUAAAUGACUCAGCAUCUGUAAAGUACAAGGACAGUACCUGAUGCAUAGCAAGAACUCAGUAAAUGUAGCUGCAAUUAUCAUCAUUUGGAUGAUGGUUUCCGUUUCACUGUAAAAAUAUCCUUAAAUGAAUGGUUUCCCAUCCUGCCUACUUUCCUGGGGAAACAAACAUGAAAAGAUGGUGAUUUUUUUCUCUACGCUCUUUUUAUCUUAAUGCUAGGAAUUGUUCUUGCUCUGCCGUACCCAGCAGACUUUGGACACUUAGUCAAUAUUAAUUCAUGAUGUUGGUGUUCGGUGUGCCAGCUCUUUGACACGAAGAAUUUUUGUGCCAACAAAGCAAGGUAGAAUUAAGCAGCUGCGCUGUAAGCUUGUCUCAGAUGUGCUUUGUUCAUAUUCCCCACGCUGUUUACGCCACUCAGUUAGGCCAGUUUCGUUGCCUUUACUGAUUGUAUCGAUGUAGCCUCAAGUCCCUUCAGGGAUAAACCUUCCCCUGCCUUUUUUUCCUUCUGUAUCUGUGUCUUGUAGUAACAAGACCAGCUUACGUGCAUACUAAGUUGCUUCAGUCAUGUCUGACUCUUCACAAUUCCUGGGACUGUAGCCCACCAGGCUCCUCUGUCCAUAGGAUUCUAGAAGCAAGAAUACUGGAGUGGGUUGCUAUGCCCUCCUUCAGGGGAUCGUCCUGACCUAGAGAUCGAACCAUGUCUCUUAUGUCUCCUGCAUUGGCAGGUGGGUUCUUUACCACUCACGCCUCCUGGGAAGCCCCAGCAAGACCAGUCUCUCCCUCAGCUGGGACCCGAAUACAACCUGCAGCAAAGAGUAAAGCAGAAUCACCAGGUUUUACUAUCAUGCUGCAUUAAGCAUCCUGGGGCUUCAUCUGUUCUUACGGGUUUUGAAGAAAACCUUCCCAGCAACAUAAAAGGAUGGCAUGGAUGUGGUUCCAUAAAAGAGGCUUCUGAAUUGAAGACGACAAUCUUCUUGAUGGGAGCGGCAUUGUACAAAGCAUCUUAGCGUCUCUUGCAGUGAUCAAAUAUUAAUAGCAACCAUAAUAGGAGGAACAGCCAACACUUAACGAGGAAACUGAACACCAAGAGUUUAAGUAACUUGCUGAAGGUCAGCCCGCUAUUACUG
ensembl:lncRNA